GUCUGAGCGAAAAUCAAUGCAAAAAAACUUUCAACAACGGAUCUCUUGGUUCUGGCAUCGAUGAAGAACGCAGCGAAAUGCGAUAAGUAAUGUGAAUUGCAGAAUUCCGCGAAUCAUCGAAUCUUUGAACGCACAUUGCGCCCUUUGGUAUUCCGAGGGGCAUGCCUGUUCGAGCGUCAUU
rnacentral:rRNA from 1 species